rnacentral:rRNA from 1 species
UGAACGCUGACAGAAUGCUUAACACAUGCAAGUCAACUUGAACUUCGGUUUGGGUGGCGGACGGGUGAGUAACGCGUAAAGAACUUGCCUCACAGAUAGGGACAACAUUUGGAAACGAAUGCUAAUACCUGAUAUUAUGAUUAUAUGGCAUCGUAUAAUUAUGAAAGCUAUAUGCGCUGUGAGAGAGCUUUGCGUCCCAUUAGCUAGUUGGAGAGGUAACGGCUCACCAAGGCGAUGAUGGGUAGCCGGCCUGAGAGGGUGAUCGGCCACAAGGGGACUGAGACACGGCCCUUACUCCUACGGGAGGCAACAGUGGGGAAUAUUGGACAAUGGACCAAGAGUCUGAUCCAGCAAUUCUGUGUGCACGAUGAAGUUUUUCGGAAUGUAAAGUGCUUUCAGUUGGGAAGAAAAAAAUGACGGUACCAACAGAAGAAGUGACGGCUAAAUACGUG